AGGGACUUAGGAUACGAGCAAGACCAAGGGCCUUCAAAGCCCUCAGCGGGAGUGAGAACCUCCCAGUCCCUG
rnacentral:tRNA from 1 species